CUCAAAACAUAUAUUACCGAAUAUUAUAGACAGUUAUUUGGACCUCCGGAGGAUAAUUGUGUGUCCCUCGAUGAGUCCAGGACUGAGGAUGUGCCUCAAUUGUCUGAUGCCGAUAAUGAUAUCCUGGUUGCCCCAUUCUCAGAGAAGGAGGUGUUUGAUGGUAUUGCACAAAUGAAAAACAAUAAGGCUCCCGGACCGGAUGGGUUCCCGGCUGAGUUCUAUAAAAAAUGUUGGCACAUUAUUAAGGGGGAUUUACUACCUAUGUUUCAUGAUCUAUUCUCUGGACAGCUUCAAUUAUUUCACUUGAAUUUUGGAACUAUCACAUUGCUCCCUAAGAAAACGGAUGUUGUGAGAAUUGAGCAGUUCAGGCCGAUCUGCCUCCUCAAUGUUAGUUUCAAAAUCUUCACCAAGGUCGGGACCAAUAGGCUCACACAGAUUGCGCAUUAUGUGGUGCAACAAUCCCAAACUGCUUUCAUGCCAGACAGAAACAUCCUUGAAGGGGUGGUUGUUCUUCAUGAAACGCUACAUGAAAUCCACUCCAAAAAAUUAGAUGGAGUAAUUUUUAAGGUGGAUUUCGAAAAAGCGUACGAUAAG
rnacentral:rRNA from 1 species